rnacentral:rRNA from 1 species
AUUGAACGCUGGCGGCGUGCUUAACACAUGCAAGUCGAUCGGUAACAGGUGUAGCAAUACAUGCUGACGAGAGGCGGACGGGUGAGGAAUAUUUGGGAAUCUGCCCAUCAGCGGGGGACAACCCGGGGAAACUCGGGCUAAUACCGCAUACGCUCUACGGAGGAAAGCCGGGGACCGCAAGGCCUGGCACUGAUGGAUGAGCCCAAAUCGGAUUAGCUAGUUGGCGGGGUAACGGCCCACCAAGGCGACGAUCCGUAGCUGGUCUGAGAGGACGAUUAGCCACACCGGAACUGAGACACGGUCCGGACUCCUACGGGAGGCAGCAGUGGGGAAUAUUGGACAAUGGGGGAAACCCUGAUCCAGCGACGCCGCGUGGGUGAAGAAGGCCUGCGGGUCGUAAAGCCCUUUCGGUAGGGAAGAAAUCUCUUGCUCUAACAAAGCAAGGGUUUGACUUAACCUACAUAAGAAGCACCGGCUAACUCUGUGCCAGCCGCCGCAGUAAAAC